UGAGGAAUAUUGGUCAAUGGGCGGGAGCCUGAACCAGCCAAGUAGCGUGAAGGAUGACAGCCCUAUGGGUUUUAAACUUCUUUUAUAAGGGAAUAAAGUGCCCCACGUGUGGGGUUUUGUAUGUACCUUAUGAAUAAGCAUCGGCUAAUUCCGUGCCAGCAGCCGCGGUAAUACGGAAGAUGCGAGCGUUAUCCGGAUUUAUUGGGUUUAAAGGGAGCGUAGGCGGUUCCAUAAGUCAGCGGUAAAAUCGUGCGGCUCAACCGUACCGUGCCGUUGAAACUGUGGGACUUGAGUAUGCGCAGGGUACAUGGAAUUCGUGGUGUAGCGGUGAAAUGCUUAGAUAUCACGAAGAACUCCGAUCGCGAAGGCAUUGUACCGGAGCAAGACUGACGCUGAGGCUCGAAAGUGCGGGUAUCAAACAGG
rnacentral:rRNA from 2 species